UACGUAGGGGGCAAGCGUUGUCCGGAUUUAUUGGGCGUAAAGAGCGUGUAGGCGGCUUGGUAGGUCCGCUGUGAAAACUCGAGGCUCAACCUCGAGAUGUCGGCGGAAACCACUUGGCUAGAGUCCGGAAGAGGAGAGUGGAAUUCCUGGUGUAGCGGUGAAAUGCGUAGAUAUCUGGAGGAACACCGGUGGCGAAGGCGGCAUCCUGGACCAACACUGACGCUGAUGAGCGAAAGCCAGGGGAGCAAACGGG
rnacentral:rRNA from 1 species